AUGGACACCCGGGCGGGCACACCCGGCCCCACAGACCCUUGGAUGGACAUGGAACCCGGACACAAACACCCAACGCAGCUGGCCGCGCGCGCACACUCGCGGGGGGGGGAACCCAUACCUGGGCACACAACCCACGCACACACACCUGCACACAGCCCCUCCGAUGGGCGCGCGACAGCCCCCAGACCCACGGCCGGAGGGGCAGCACUCGGGGGGACACACGCCCGGCCGGCCACAGCACCUCGGCUCGACCCCCGGCACACGCCCGGAUGGCCACCCAGGCGGGGCGCCGCACACGCCGCGCCGGGCACACACAGGGCCGCGCGAGCGCACGCCGGGCCCGCCGCAGCGCCGCGGACACACUCGCACGCUCGCGGCUCACACCGCGCUCACACCGGCGCCCCCGCCCGCCGCCUCCCGGGCCGCUGCGGGCCGCGCUCACCCAGCCCGGGGGGGCCCCGGGCCCGGCCCCGCCGCCGCCGCCGCGCUCCGCGCCAUGGUGGGGGGAGGGCCGGGGAGGGGGCGCGGGCCGCGGGGCCGCCUCCUCCCGCCUCCCGCCUCCCGCCCGCCCGAGCCGCCGCCGAGCUCCGCCCUCCGCGCCGCCCGCCGCCCGCCCGCCGCGCCGCCCGCCGCCGCCGCCGCAAGGGGGGAGGGCGCGCCGACCGGAGGGGCGGGAGGGGCGGCUGCACCCCCCGAUCCCCGCCCCGGGCCCGCCGCAGACCCCUCUCCGCUGCGGAGCCGCCGGCCCGCCCCCGACCUCUCCCCGGCCCCACCUCCAGCCCUGCCGGCUUCCCCAGAGACCCCCCAGACCACGCCCCGACUGGCCUGGGGACCCCGGAUCUCCCGGACGGAGACAUCAGAUUGUGUCCCGAUACCCAGGGGGACCUCAGACCAUGCCUUACCUCCUGUGAGGACCCAAAUCAUGUUCUACAGCCACCCAGGACCACAAACCGUGUCCUACUCUCCUUGGUGACCUCAGACUCUGCCCCACACCCCACCAGGGACCCCAGACCAUGUCCCCAAAUCCAGGGAGACCCCAGACCAUAUUCCAACAUCCAAGGGGAUCCAGAGCACCCCCAUCAGGGACCUUAA
rnacentral:lncRNA from 1 species